UGGGGAAUUUUGGACAAUGGGGGCAACCCUGAUCCAGCCAUGCCGCGUGAGUGAAGAAGGCCUUCGGGUUGUAAAGCUCUUUCGGCCGGGAAGAAAUCGCGCCAGUUAAUACCUGGUGUGGAUGACGGUACCGGAAUAAGAAGCACCGGCUAACUACGUGCCAGCAGCCGCGGUAAUACGUAGGGUGCGAGCGUUAAUCGGAAUUACUGGGCGUAAAGCGUGCGCAGGCGGUUUUGUAAGACAGGCGUGAAAUCCCCGGGCUCAACCUGGGAACUGCGCUUGUGACUGCAUCACUCGAGUACGGCAGAGGGGGGUGGAAUUCCACGUGUAGCAGUGAAAUGCGUAGAGAUGUGGAGGAACACCGAUGGCGAAGGCAGCCCCCUGGGCCGAUACUGACGCUCAUGCACGAAAGCGUGGGUAGCAAACA
rnacentral:rRNA from 1 species